AACGAACGCUGGCGGCAGGCCUAACACAUGCAAGUCGAACGGGCGUAGCAAUACGUUAGUGGCGCACGGGAGAGUAACGCGUGGGAACCUACCUUUUGGUUCGGGAUAACGUCGGGAAACUGACGCUAAUACCGGAUAAGCCCCAUGGGGGAAAGAGUUAUCGCCGAUAGAUGGGCCCGCGUUAGAUUAGCUAGGCGGUGAGGUAAUGGCUCACCAAGGCAACGAUCUAUAGCUGGUCUGAGAGGAUGACCAGCCUCACUGGGACUGAGACACGGCCCAGACUCCUACGGGAGGCAGCAGUGGGGAAUAUUGGACAAUGGGGGAAACCCUGAUCCAGCCAUGCCGCGUGAAUGAUGAAGGCCUUCGGGUUGUAAAGUUCUUUUGGUGGGGACGAUGAUGACGGUACCCACAGAAUAAGCUCCGGCUAACUUCGCGCCAGCCGCCGCCGUAA
rnacentral:rRNA from 1 species